UGUUAUCGUUAUUCUUAUGGAAAGUGUAAAAAAAAAGACAAUACCUUAGGUGAAGGUAGAGGACGGUGAAAAGAUAUCUUAUGGCAAAUUAAGGGCCACAAUAGGUGUGUUCACUUACUUGGCGUGUUACAGGCUAAUGGGCCUAGCGGUCCAAUAUUUUAGAACAAAGAUGGUGGCUGGGAUUACACAUGGAAGGUCAUAACACAAUGUUUGGCACGACCCUGAGUUACAUUUGAGUGCAUCUUCUCGGAGAAGGGCCUAAUGGUGGUUUGGAUGGCGCCUACACUAAAGCACGAUAAUGGAUUUUAGAUCGUCGGACUAUGUUCAACAAUCCUUCGUCGGGAGAACGUGGCUUUCAGUAUUUCUGUUCUGAGUGGGUACCGGGUAGGAUGCAACCAAUGCCCAUAGAGUUAUUCUCUCAACCAUCUUGCCCUUGCAUUCAGGUACCUACCCUGAUGAAGAUUUUUUUACCAAAUAAUCAUCAAAAAAGAGCAAUUUACUCGGUAAAGAAUCUUUUGUAAAAGGUUGAUCCUAAAAAUACUAUGUUAUCAUUGUUGAAUACUAUGUUAUCUCCAUUUGUUUUAGUUAAAAUAAGAUUUGCCUCAUCUUGUAUAUUUUCUACCAUAUACAACUCAUGAGUUUGUUUGCACCU